rnacentral:piRNA from 1 species
UGCAGGACAAGUACUAUGAGGAGUAC